CCUACGGGAGGCUGCAGUGGGGAAUAUUGGACAAUGGGGGGAACCCUGAUCCAGCCAUGCCGCGUGUGUGAAGAAGGCCCUCGGGUUGUAAAGCACUUUCAGUGAGGAAGAACGCCUGGUGGUUAAUACCCAUCAGGAAAGACAUCACUCACAGAAGAAGCACCGGCUAACUCCGUGCCAGCAGCCGCGGUAAUACGGAGGGUGCGAGCGUUAAUCGGAAUUACUGGGCAUAAAGCGCGCGUAGGUGGCUUGAUAAGCCGGUUGUGAAAGCCCCGGGCUCAACCUGGGAACGGCAUCCGGAACUGUCAAGCUAGAGUGCAGGAGAGGAAGGUAGAAUUCCCGGUGUAGCGGUGAAAUGCGUAGAGAUCGGGAGGAAUACCAGUGGCGAAGGCGGCCUUCUGGACUGACACUGACACUGAGGUGCGAAAGCGUGGGUAGCAAACAGGAUUAGAUACCCGGGUAGUC
rnacentral:rRNA from 1 species